rnacentral:tRNA from 1 species
GUUAAGGUGGCAGAAGCCGGUUAUUGCAAAAGAUCUAAGCCCUUUCCACGGAGGUUCAAGUCCUCCCCUUAACU